rnacentral:rRNA from 1 species
GACAGAGGGUGCAAACGUUGUUCGGAAUUACUGGGCGUAAAGCGCGUGUAGGCGGCAGGGCAUGUCGGAUGUGAAAUCCCGUGGCUCAACCACGGAAGUGCACCCGAAACUGCCCAGCUUGAGUCUCGGAGAGGAAGGCGGAAUGCUUGGUGUAGAGGUGAAAUUCGUAGAUAUCAAGCGGAACACCGGUGGCGAAGGCGGCCUUCUGGACGAUGACUGACGCUGAGACGCGAAAGCUAGGGGAGCAAACGGG